rnacentral:rRNA from 1 species
CAGUCGCCGCGGUAAUACAGAGGGUGCGAGCGUUAAUCGGAUUUACUGGGCGUAAAGCGUGCGUAGGCGGCUUUUUAAGUCGGAUGUGAAAUCCCUGAGCUUAACUUAGGAAUUGCAUUCGAUACUGGGAAGCUAGAGUAUGGGAGAGGAUGGUGGAAUUCCCGGUGUAGCGGUGAAAUGCGUAGAGAUCGGGAGGAACAUCAGUGGCGAAGGCGGCCAUCUGGGACAACACUGACGCUGAGGCACGAAAGCGUGGGGAGCAAACAGGAUUAGAUACCCCUGUAGUCCCUGUCUCUUAUAA